CAAGUCGAACGAAGUCUUACCCUUCGGGGUAGGUACUUAGUGGCAGACGGCUGAGUAACACGUGAAUGAUCUGCCUUUGGGUGGGGAACAACAGAGAGAAAUUUCUGCUAAUACUCCAUACGAUCCUCAAUCUAAGUUUGAGGAUGAAAGGUGCCGGGUAACUGGUUUCCGCCCUUAGAUGAGUUCGCGGCCUAUCAGGUUGUUGGUGGGGUAAAAGCCUACCAAGCCGAAGACGGGUAACUGGUGUGAGAGCACGACCAGUCAGAGGGGGACUGAGACACGGCCCCCACUCC
rnacentral:rRNA from 2 species